UACGGAGGGUGCAAGCGUUAUCCGGAUUCACUGGGUUUAAGGGGUGCGUAGGUGGAUUGGUAAGUCAGUGGUGAAAUCUCCGGGCUUAACCCGGAAACUGCCAUUGAUACUAUCAGUCUUGAAUACCGUGGAGGUCAGUAGAAUAUGUCAUGUAGCGGUGAAAUGCUUAGAUAUGACAUAGAAUACCAAUUGCGAAGGCAGCUGGCUACACGAAUAUUGACACUCAGGCACGAAAGCGUGGGGAUCAAACAGG
rnacentral:rRNA from 1 species